rnacentral:misc_RNA from 1 species
GUGAAUCAUCGAAUUUUUGAACGCAAAUUGCGCCUUUUUCGGAAGGCAUGUCUGUUUGAGUGCACCAUUUAACAAAUAAUGUGCAUUUCGUGUGCACACGUGGAUGAGCUUUCCAAAUUUAUGUGUUAUUUUUGGUGGCGCAUAUUAAACAGCGCGAUGCUUUUUUUCAGUUCGAGUGUAGUAAAAAUUUUUCUUGCUUGGGUUGUGAAAAGCGUUAUCGCGCAAUGGUUGUGUCAAUUUUAGUUAAUCCCUGCCCUGACUCCACUCUUUCUCGUGA